rnacentral:rRNA from 1 species
AUCAGCUAGUUGGUAGGGUAAUAGCCUACCAAGGCUUUGACGGGUAGGGGACCUGAGAGGGUGGCCCCCCACAAUGGAACUGAAACACGGUCCAUACACCUACGGGUGGCAGCAGUAGGGAAUAUUAGAAAUGGACGAAAGUCUGAUCUAGCGACACCGCGUGUGCGAAGAAGGCCUUCGGGUUGUAAAGCACUUUUUGGAAGGAAUAGGAAGGAAGGUACUUCCAGAAUAAGUCUCGGCUAACUACGUGCCAGCAGCCGCGGUAACACGUAGGAGGCAAACGUUAUCCGGAUUUAUUGGGCGUAAAGCGCGUGUAGGUGGUUCUGUAAGUAGGGCGUGAAAGCUCCCGGCUCAACUGGGAGAGGUCGUUCUAUACUGCAGAGCUAGAGGAUGGUAGAGGGAGGUGGAAUUCCAGGUGUAGCGGUGGAAUGCGCAGAUAUCAGGAGGAACACCAGUGGCGAAGGCGGCCUCCUGGACCAUUCCUGACACUCAGACGCGAAAGCUAGGGUAGCAAACGGGAUUAGAGACCCCGGUAGUCCUAGCCCUAAACGAUGUAGACUAGACGUCGGCGGUGUAAUAACUGUCGGUGUCCAAGCUAACGCGAUA